rnacentral:lncRNA from 1 species
CUCUGUUCCCCAGGCUGGAGGACAGCGGUACAGUCAUAGCUCACUGCAGCCUCAACCUCCGGUACUCAAGUGAUCCUUCUGCCUCAGCCUCCCAAGUUGGACUACAGGAAGUGACACUCUAAGUCAGCGUGUUUCUUCAAUGGACUGAUCAAGUUCAGAGCCCAAGAAUUUGCCCAACGUUUUUAGAUGUCCUCCUCUCUAAAUGAUGGGUACAUGUGGAGGAUGUACAGGUUUGUUACAUCGGUAAAUGUGUGCCAUGGUGGUUUGCCGCACCUAUCAACCCAACACCUAG